ensembl:misc_RNA 7SK 7SK RNA
AGCUUGUGUGGGCAACCUGGCAGCGCACCUGUCACCCCAUUGAUCUCCAGGGAUGAUUUGGUUGAUCUGAUUGGCCAGACUGAGGCCCUCUUCCUCCCUACCUCUCUCUCUAUCGGCAUCCCUCCCAACGCUGUCAGAGACAGAUGGCUUUUCCUGUUGCAGGAGGACUGUUGUUCACUGCAUAUGCAUACCUAUGCUUCUCUCCUAGCACCUUCAAAUAAGCUCUGUAGAGUGAACUCCUGGACUGGGGAUAUGGCUCACGUGGUGGAGUGACUGCCUAGCAAAUAUAAGACCCUGAGUUCAAAGAUUGUUACUA